rnacentral:rRNA from 1 species
UAGUCCACGCUGUAAACGAUGAGCACUAGUUGUCGGGGGUUUGAUCCCUUCGGUGACACAGCUAACGCGUUAAGUGCUUCGCCUGGGGAGUACGGUCGCAAGACUAAAACUCAAAGGAAUUGACGGGGGCCCGCACAAGCGGUGGAUUAUGUGGUUUAAUUCGAAGCAACGCGAACAACCUUACCUGGACUUGAAAUCCUACGAACUUUUCAGAGAUGAAUUGGUGCUCUUCGGAGAACGUAGUGACAGGUGCUGCAUGGCUGUCGUCAGCUCGUGUUGUGAAAUGUUGGGUUAAGUCUCGCAACGAGCGCAACCCCUAUCUUUAGUUGCCAGCAUUAAGUUGGGCACUCUAGAGAGACUGCCUGGGUUAACCAGGAGGAAGGUGGGGAUGACGUCAAGUCCUCAUGGCCCUUAUGUCCAGGGCUACACACGUAAUACAAUGGUGCAUACAGAGGGACGCGAAAUCGCGAGGUGGAGCAAAUCUCAAAAAGUGCAUCUCAGUCCGGU